rnacentral:rRNA from 1 species
GAUGAACGCUAGCGGCAGGCCUAAUACAUGCAAGUCGAGGGGCAGCACAGGGUAGCAAUACCUGGGUGGCGACCGGCAAACGGGUGCGGAACACGUACAGAACCUUCCUUCGAGCGGGGAAUAGCCCAGAGAAAUUUGGAUUAAUACCCCAUAGUAUAAUGGUGUGGCAUCACAUUGUUAUUAAAGAUUUAUCACUUGAAGAUGGCUGUGCGUAUGAUUAGGUAGUUGGCGGGGUAACGGCCCACCAAGCCUACGAUCAUUAACUGGUGUGAGAGCACGACCAGUCACACGGGAACUGAGACACGGGCCCGACUCCUACGGGAGGCAGCAGUAAGGAAUAUUGGUCAAUGGACGCAAGUCUGAACCAGCCAUGCCGCGUGGAGGAUGAAGGUCCUCUGGAUUGUAAACUUCUUUUAUCUGGGACGAAAAAAGGCUUUUCUAAGUCGUCUGACGGUACCAGAUGAAUAAGCACCGGCUAACUCCGUGCCAGCCGCCGCCGUAACAC